ACCACAAGAAUGGUAUUUUUCCUUCCUUACUAAUCCUCUAACCGCAACAUGGAUAAUUUGCCUUGAACUGAACUCUGAGCUUAAUACAGUGCGGGAAAAAUGCCUGUUAUACCAAUGGCCCCAAAAAAAAACCUCAGUAGCCCUUGUCAUUAAUAAGAUAUAACAAAGAAAUAAUUAACACAACUUUCAAAAUGCAAAUAAUUAGUUAAUAGCAUCAAAAAUUUGAGCUAUAAACCCAAAAGCACAUAAUAAUUCACAUUGAACAUGAAAAGGAAUAGCUACAAUUUGCAAAAUUAAAACAAACCCAAGUAGAAGUCAGCUAAAGUCAGCUAAAAACAUUAAUACCCGUUUGUCUAUAAAUAUAAUUAUCAACGAUUAUAAAAUAAAUGCAAAAACCUUAUCAACUCUUUUAAUCCAAACAAAUAUUCAACUCCAAUUAAUAAUAAAAAGGGGAAAAGAAAAACAUAAAAGAA
rnacentral:misc_RNA from 1 species